GUGGGGAAUUUUGGACAAUGGGCGAAAGCCUGAUCCAGCAAUGCCGCGUGCAGGAUGAAGGCCUUCGGGUUGUAAACUGCUUUUGUACGGAACGAAAAGUCUCGGGAUAAUACCCUGGGACCAUGACGGUACCGUAAGAAUAAGCACCGGCUAACUACGUGCCAGCAGCCGCGGUAAUACGUAGGGUGCAAGCGUUAAUCGGAAUUACUGGGCGUAAAGCGUGCGCAGGCGGUUAUAUAAGACAGAUGUGAAAUCCCCGGGCUCAACCUGGGAACUGCAUUUGUGACUGUAUAGCUAGAGUACGGUAGAGGGGGAUGGAAUUCCGCGUGUAGCAGUGAAAUGCGUAGAUAUGCGGAGGAACACCGAUGGCGAAGGCAAUCCCCUGGACCUGUACUGACGCUCAUGCACGAAAGCGUGGGGAGCAAACAGGAUUAGAUACCCUAGUAGUCC
rnacentral:rRNA from 1 species